UUCCCUCCCAUACCCGCUAAACCUUUUUUCCCAAUUUUUUUUCAAUUUCCAUCAAAACUGCUCCCGUUCUUGAUUCCAAACCCUAACCGUGUCAUGUCAUUCCACAACUUCUUUCCAGAGAAAGAAACUGCAGAUUCCUUUUUGCAAUGAAGAUGCAUAAACCAUAGACAAACAACAUGCUUGUUCUUUACAAUAUGGAAUCCGGACAACAUGCUCGCGAAAUCCCCACUUAGUCCGACCACAUUAAGCUCCAAUCCAUCAAGAUAAAAAUAAAUGAAGAACUACAAACCAUCAAACGGGAGUCUUGAAGUUGAAAAACACAUAGUUGCUUGAAAUGUGAAAAGAAAAUGAAGACUACCAGCAAAGGAAUAAAUCAGAGCUAGAAACUACGCGGAAAGAUUUUCACAGCCAACAUACAAACUCUAAAGCGACGAUACGUCGUACUGUGAAACACUACGUAUUAGAGUACUUUGGAAUCUUAGAGAUGAGUAGAAGGUUUUCGUUACUUUUAUUCAUUGUAAUUAACAACUAUAUUUUAAUUACAUUGCUACUUUGAGGUUGGAUGUAUGUUAAAUUAUGAUAUAAGAUUAUUUAUUAUAUUUA